rnacentral:rRNA from 1 species
UGAGGAAUAUUGGUCAAUGGGCGGAAGCCUGAACCAGCCAUGCCGCGUGAAGGAAGAAGGUCCUAUGGAUUUUAAACUUCUUUUGUCGGAGAGCAAUAAGGGUCUCGUGAGAUCCGAUGAGAGUAUCCGACGAAUAAGCAUCGGCUAACUCCGUGCCAGCAGCCGCGGUAAUACGGGGGAUGCGAGCGUUAUCCGGAUUUAUUGGGUUUAAAGGGUGCGUAGGCGGUCCGGUAAGUCAGCCGUGAAAAGCCCCCGCUCAACGGGGGUCGUGCGUUUGAUACUGUUGGACUGGAAUGCGGAUGCCGUGGGAGGAAUGUGUGGUGUAGCGGUGAAAUGCUUAGAUAUCACGAAGAACUCCGAUUGCGAAGGCAGCUCACGU